rnacentral:rRNA from 1 species
UACGAAGGGGGCUAGCGUUGUUCGGAAUUACUGGGCGUAAAGGGCGCGCAGGCGGCCCUCCAAGUCAGGCGUGAAAGCCCCGGGCUCAACCCGGGAAUGGCGCUUGAGACUGGGGGGCUUGAGUUCGGGAGAGGAGAGUGGAAUUCCCAGUGUAGAGGUGAAAUUCGUAGAUAUUGGGAAGAACACCGGUGGCGAAGGCGGCUCUCUGGACCGACACUGACGCUGAGGCGCGAAAGCGUGGGGAGCAAACAGG